rnacentral:rRNA from 1 species
AUGGAGGAGCCGCUUGAUGAGAAGGAUUUGGAAAGGAAGCUGAAGAAAGAGCAGAAGGCGAAAGAGAAGGAGGAGAAGAAGCUCAAGGCGAAGCAGAAGGAGGCGGCCAGGCUACAGGUCCAAUCAGCAUCUGAUGGAGCUAACAAGAGUGAGAAGAAGCAAAAGAAGAAAGGCGCCACCAAUGAGAAUCCUGAGGAUUUCAUUGAUCCAGAUACUCCCACUGGACAGAAGAAACUGAUUGCUUCUCAAAUGGCCAAACAUUACAGCCCGUCUGCUGUUGAGAAAUCGUGGUAUCCUUGGUGGGAGUCAUCACAGUAUUUUGUAGCAGAUGCCGCAAGCUCAAAGCCACCGUUUGUAAUAGUCCUGCCACCUCCAAAUGUGACAGGACCCCUUCACAUAGGCCAUGCAAUUACAGUGGCAAUUGAGGAUGCUAUGAUCCGCUGGCGGAGGAUGUCAGGCUACAAUGCUUUGUGGAUUCCUGGAAUGGAUCAUGCUGGUAUAGCUACACAGGUCGUUGUGGAAAAGAAGAUCAUGCGUGAGAGGAAGCUGUCAAGGCAUGAUCUAGGGCGUGAUAAAUUUCUAUCUGAGGUCCACAACUGGAAAGAUCAGUAUGGUGGCACCAUAUUGAGACAAUUGCGUAUGCUUGGAGCCUCGCUUGACUGGUCGCGCGAAUGUUUUACAAUGGAUGAGCAGAGAUCAGAGGCUGUAACAGAAGCGUUUGUUAGGCUAUACAAGGAAGGUUUGAUAUAUAGGGAUAUUCGUCUCGUGAACUGGGAUUGCACGCUCCGUACAACAAUUUCUGAUAUCGAGGUUGACCGUGUUGAUCUCAAGGCAGAGACUUUGUUAGAGGUCCCUGGUUAUAGCAACCCAGUUCAGUUUGGUGUUUUGACAUCUUUUGCCUAUCCUCUAGAAGAAGGAUUGGGUGAAAUUAUCGUUGCAACAACUAGAAUAGAAACUAUGCUCGGUGAUACCGCUAUAGCUGUUCAUUCUCAGGAUGAAAGAUAUAAGCAUCUGCAUGGAAAAUAUGCCGUCCAUCCGUUUAAUGGCCGAAAACUUGAAAUAAUUUGCGCUGAUGACUUAGUGAAAGCCACUUUUGGUACUGGCGCUGUCAAGAUCACACCAGCUCAUGAUAGCAAGGACUUCAAGGUUGGGAAACAGCAUAACCUGGACUUUAUCAAUAUUUUCACUGAUGACGGGAACAUAAAUGAAAAUGGAGGUCCACAAUUUGAAGGAAUGCCACGUUUUACCGCUCGAGCUGCUGUUAUUGAUGCACUAAAGGAAAAGGGUCUAUACAGAGGCAUGGAAAAUAAUGAUAUGGAAUUAGGACGUUGUUCGAGAACUAAUGAUAUUGUGGAGCCAAUGAUCAAGCCCCAAUGGUUUGUUAAUUGUAAUACCAUGGCAAAGGCAGCUCUUGAUGCUGUGAAAUCCAAAGAGAUAGAGAUCAUUCCACCACAAUAUGAGCAAGACUGGUACAGGUGGCUUGAAAACAUACGCGAUUGGUGUAUUUCAAGACAACUUUGGUGGGGACACCGUGUACCUGCUUGGUAUGUGACAUUAGAAGAUGACAAAGAGAAAGACAUGGGUUCGUACAUUGACCACUGGAUAAUCGCAAGAAAUAAAAGUGAUGCAGUACUGGAGGCAAAACAGAGGUACCCAAAGAAGAAAUAUCAGUUGGAUCAAGAUCCUGAUGUGUUGGACACAUGGUUUUCAGCUGGUCUUUUCCCCCUAACUGUACUUGGUUGGCCGGACAAUACAGCUGACCUUAGUACUUUCUACCCUACUUCUGUACUUGAAACUGGAUUGGACAUCCUCUUCUUUUGGGUAGCAAGGAUGGUGAUGAUGGGAAUGCUACUCCACGGUGAUGUGCCAUUUCGAAAGAUUUACUUGCAUCCAAUUAUUCGUGAUGCACAUGGCCGCAAAAUGUCCAAGUCACUAGGAAAUGUCAUUGAUCCCAUUGAUGUAAUAAAUGGUAUAACACUGGAAGGUCUUCAGAAAAAGUUGGAACACGGCAAUCUGGACCAAGGCGAAUUGGAAAAGGCAAAAGAAGGUCAAAAGAAGGAUUUCCCUGAUGGUAUUCCUGAGUGUGGUACUGACGCCCUUCGUUUUGCUCUGAUCUCCUACACUUCUCAGUCCGACAAGAUAAACCUGGAUAUCAAGCGAGUGCAUGGGUACAGACAAUGGUGCAAUAAACUGUGGAACGCCAUUCGUUUUGCGAUGGUUAAGCUUGGAGAUCAAUACACUCCACCAGCAACUCUCGCGGUGCAUAGUAUGCCGCCCAUCUGCAAAUGGAUACUCUCAGUACUUAGUAAGGCUGUUGGCAAGACCGUGUCAUCAUUAGAAGCAUAUAAGUUCUCCGACGCGACGUCAUCUAUAUACUUCUGGUGGCAAUACCAGCUUUGUGAUGUCUUUAUAGAAGCAAUUAAACCUUACUUCAAUGGAUCUCAAGAGUUCGAAUCUGCAAGAUGUGCUUCUAGAGAUACACUAUGGGCAUGCCUGGACACUGGUUUGCGUCUUCUCCAUCCAUUCAUGCCUUACAUAACAGAAGAGCUUUGGCAGCGCCUUCCUCAGCCUAAGGAGGCUUGUAGGAAAGAUUCCAUUAUGAUAUCAGAAUACCCCUCAGCUGUACAGGAAUGGGCAAAUGAUGAAGUUGAGAACGAAAUGGAGAUUGUGUUAGAUGCCGUGAGUAAGCUGAGAUCUCUCCUGCCACCAACAGAUAUACAUCUAAGGCGCCCAUGUUUUGUGCUCUGCCGAAACCUAGAGGUUGCAGCCACUGUUGGAUGCUACCAAGCUCAAAUUGCAACGCUUGCUUCUGUAUCAUCUCUUGAGAUCCUGACAGAGGAUGAUCCAACUCCACCCGAUUGUGCCACAAAUAUUGUAAACAAAGAUCUAGCCGUGUAUCUCCAGCUCCGGCGGGCUCUCAACACGGAAGCUGAACAUGAGAAGCUUAGGAAGAAGAGAGAGGAAGUUCAAAAGCAAUAUGACACCCUGUCACAGAAAAUGAGUGCAUCAGGCUACCGUGAGAAGGCCCCACAGAGCAAGCAGGAUGAUGAUAUGAAAAAACUUGCUACUCUGUUGGAGGAGCUCGAGAUCAUCAGCGAAGCUGAGAGUAAACUGGAUGCAAAAAACUGA